GACGAACGCUGGCGGCGUGCCUAACACAUGCAAGUCGAGCGAGGUAUUUAUACCUAGAGGCGGACGGGUGAGUAACGCGUGGGUAACCUGCCUCAUACACAUGGAUAACAUACCGAAAGGUAUGCUAAUACAAGAUGAUAUAAGAGAUUCGAAUGGAUUUCUUAUCAAAGCUCCGUCGGUAUGAGAUGGACCCGCGUCUGAUUAGCUAGUUGGUAAGGUAAUGGCUUACCAAGGCGACGAUCAGUAGCCGACCUGAGAGGGUGAUCGGCCACAUUGGAACUGAGACACGGUCCAAACUCCUACGGGAGGCAGCAGUGGGGAAUAUUGCACAAUGGGCGAAAGCAUGAUGCAGCAACGCCGCGUGAGCGAUGAAGGCCUUCGGGUCGUAAAGCUCUGUCCUCAAGGAAGAUAAUGACGGUACUUGAGGAGGAAGCCCCGGCUAACUACGUGCCAGCCGCCGCCGUAAGAC
rnacentral:rRNA from 1 species